CACGUAGGGGGCAAGCGUUGUCCGGAAUCAUUGGGCGUAAAGAGCUCGUAGGCGGCUCAGUAAGUCGGGUGUGAAACCCUCAGGCUCAACCUGGGGACGCCACCCGAUACUGCUGUGGCUAGAGUCCAGUAGGGGAGUGUGGAAUUCCCGGUGUAGCGGUGAAAUGCGCAGAUAUCGGGAGGAACACCAGCGGCGAAGGCGGCACUCUGGAACGCAACUGACACUGAGACGCGAAAGCGUGGGGAGCAAACAGG
rnacentral:rRNA from 1 species